rnacentral:rRNA from 1 species
GGGUCAGUAGGUUGGUCGUGCCACCGGUACGUACUGGUCUCACUGAUUCCUCCUUCCUGAAGAACCGUAAUGCCAUUAAUUCGGUGUUGCGGGGAAACAGGACUGUUACUUUGAAAAAGUUAGAGUGUUUAAAGCAAGCUAACGCUUGAAUACAUUAGCAUGGAAUAAUGAAAUAGGACGAUCGAUCCUAUUUUGUUGGUUUCUAGGAUUGACGUA